UCCUCCGUGGCGCAAUUGGCUAGCGCGUCUGACUGUUAAGAGGAUUCAUUCUCAGCGCAAUCAGGAGGUUGACAGUUCAAGCCUGUCCGGGGGAG
rnacentral:tRNA from 2 species